rnacentral:rRNA from 1 species
GAUGAACGCUGGCGGCGUGCCUAAUACAUGCAAGUCGAGCGAACAGACCAGGAGCUUGCUCCUCUGACGUUAGCGGCGGACGGGUGAGUAACACGUGGAUAACCUAUCUAUUAGACUGGGAUAACUUAGGGAAACCGGAGCUAAUACCGGAUAAUCUAUUGAACCGCAUGGUUCAAUCGUGAAAGGCGGUUUUGCUGCUACUUAUAGAUGGAUCCGUGCCGCAUUAGCUAGUUGGUAAGGUAACGGCUUACCAAGGCAACGAUGCGUAGCCGACCUGAGAGGGUGAUCGGCCACACUGAAACUGAGACACGGUCCAGACUCCGACGGGAGGCAGCAGUAGGGAAUCUUCCGCAAUGGGCGAAAGCUUGACGGAGCAACGCCGCGUGAGUGAUGAAGGUCUUCGGAUCGGAAAACUCUGUUAUUAGGGAAGAACAAAUGUGUAAGUAACUAUGCACGUCUUGACGGUACCGAAACAGAAAGCCACGGCUAACUACGUG